AAUAAAGUGCCUGAAUAAAAGGGCUAUCUUGAUAGGGUAGAUAAUACAGUAAAUUGUCUUUAUUA
rnacentral:tRNA from 1 species